GACGAACGUUGGCGGCGUGCUUAAUACAUGCAAGUCCACUGAAGCAGUGGUAGCAAUCUCGCUGUGGAGGUGGCGCACGGGUGAGUAACACGUAGGUAAUCUGCCCUCAGGUCUGGCAUAACUCCGGGAAACCGGGGCUAAUAGCAGAUGAUGCAGCGGCUCGACAUCGAGACAGUUGUUAAAGCUAUGGCGCCUGAAGAUGAGCCUGCGUCUGAUUAGCUAGUUGGCGGGGUAACGGCCCACCAAGGCAACGAUCAGUAGCUGGUCUGAGAGGAUGAUCAGCCACACUGGAACUGAGACCCGGUCCAGACUCCUACGGGAGGCAGCAGUAAGGAAUAUUGCUCAAUGGGAGAAAUCCUGAAGCAGCAACGCCGCGUGAGGGACGAAGGGCUUUUGCGUGUAAACCUCUGUAGUGAGAGAAAAAAAUCCCAAUCUUUGGGACAUGAUGGUAUCUCAAAAGUAAGCCCCGGCUAACUACG
rnacentral:rRNA from 1 species